GUGCAGCAGCCGCGGUAAUACCGGCAGCCCGAGUGAUGGCCGAUCUUAUUGGGCCUAAAGCGUCCGUAGCUGGCUGCGCAAGUCCGUCGGGAAAUCCACUCGCCCAACGAGUGGGCGUCCGGCGGAAACUCUCCGGCUUGGGACCGGAAGACCGAAGGGGUACGUCCGGGGUAGGAGUGAAAUCCUGUAAUCCUGGACGGACCACCGGUGGCGAAAGCGCCUUCGGAAGACGGAUCCGACAGUGAGGGACGAAAGCUAGGGUCUCGAACCGGAUUAGAUACCCGAGUAGUCC
rnacentral:rRNA from 1 species